GACGAACGCUGGCGGCGUGCUUAACACAUGCAAGUCGAACGGUAAGGCCCUUCGGGGUACACGAGUGGCGAACGGGUGAGUAACACGUGGGUGAUCUGCGCUGCACUUCGGGAUAAGCCUGGGAAACUGGGUCUAAUACCGGAUAGGACUCCUGGCUUCAUGGUUGGGGGUGGAAAGCUUUUGCGGUGUGGGAUGGGCCCGCGGGCUAGCAGCUUGUUGGUGAGGUAAUGGCCUACCAAGGCGGCGACGGGUAGCCGGCCUGAGAGGGUGACCGGUCACACUGGGACUGAGAUACGGCCCAGACUCCUACGGGAGGCAGCAGUGGGGAAUAUUGCACAAUGGGCGCAAGCCUGAUGCAGCGACGCCGCGUGAGGGAUGACGGCCUUCGGGUUGUAAACCUCUUUCAGCUAUGACGAAGCGCAAGUGACGGUAGUAGCAGAAGAAGGACCGGCCAACUACGUGCCAGCCGCCGCGGUAA
rnacentral:rRNA from 1 species